UUAAGUCCACUAAAGGGCCGUGGAAGACUACCACGUUGAUAGGCAGGGUGUGUAAGCGUUGUGAGGCGUUGAGCUAACCUGUACUAAUGACCCGUGAGGCUUAACCAUACAACACCCAAUGGGUUU
rnacentral:rRNA from 1 species